UCAGCUCUGCAAUCCAAUAUGAGAAAGGCGGAGCCAAUGCUGCUCUUAGAUGUGCCUCAGACUCAAUCAGUAGCUUGUUAAAAACAGAUGCCUAAGCCCUCGCCUCAAAGCUACAGAACGACGCCCUGCAGGGCCCUAUGGGGCCCACGAUGCUCCUGAGGCUUUCCAGCCUGGUUCAGCUGAUCUCAGAGCAUCCAGCCCUAACUUUCAAGGGGUUUAUGAUGCUGCCGAGAGGCCAAGUCGAGCCCACGCUCUAGGGCACCCUGCCCAGCGCAGGCGCAGGUUGUGCGCAUGAGUGAGGCAGGCAGGCGGGCGGUGCCAAGAAGAGUGAGGUCUUGACACAGCCGCCCGGACGCCGCUGCCUCCCCCACCUCCCCGGGACCCCCCCAGGCAGUGGCGGCGCAUUGGGGACGCAGGCCUGGUGUGGACCGACCUUCGGAACCUUCAAGGAACUGUUCUCAGGCAUCCCUGGAGCACAUGUCUAAUUCUGAGGAAGCGCGAGUCAGAUGUGGGCUUGGUGCUCACGUACCUCUACAAACAGGAUGGGGAAAAUGCCGACUUUAUCUCCUAUCUUGCCUUCCGCCCAGUUCUCAUCCACUCGGCUGAUCACAGUGAUGAUAUCGUCCUGGAAGACAGAAAGUCUCCUGGUCAGCCGUGAUUCUCAGUUCUCAGACUGCUGGCUCCGUGAGGAAAGUGGCAAUGACUCAUCACUGUGUCCACAGUGGCUGGCCUGGCACGUGGCUGGAUUCAGUGGAUGAACAAGCAGGUGGGGUAAGUGUCUCAGCGUGCAGAUUCCCAGAGAGGAGCUGAAAGGCAGAUAAUGCUUUUCCUGCCUGUGUCCUCCUCCUGCUGCAUCCUUAGAGCCCAGUGUCCAAUGCCUGGCACAGAGCAGACACUCAAUACAUGUUCGUGGGAUUGAACUGCCCUCCUCCAGCUGUAGUCAAAGUAUAAAAUUUGCAGUUCAGGCAUUUCCCCUGUGGUGCAACAGGUUAAGGAUCUGACAUUGUCAC